rnacentral:rRNA from 1 species
GACGAACGCUGGCGGCGUGCUUAACACAUGCAAGUCGAACGGUAAGGCUCCAGCUUGCUGGGGUACACGAGUGGCGAACGGGUGAGUAACACGUGGGUGACCUGCCCUGCACUUCGGGAUAAGCCUGGGAAACUGGGUCUAAUACCGGAUAGGACCGCACCGUGAGGGUGUGGUGGAAAGUUUUUUCGGUGUGGGAUGGGCCCGCGGCCUAUCAGCUUGUUGGUGGGGUAAUGGCCUACCAAGGCGGCGACGGGUAGCCGGCCUGAGAGGGUGGACGGCCACAUUGGGACUGAGACACGGCCCAGACUCCUACGGGAGGCAGCAGUGGGGAAUAUUGCACAAUGGGCGGAAGCCUGAUGCAGCGACGCCGCGUGGGGGAUGACGGCCUUCGGGUUGUAAACUCCUUUCACCAUCGACGAAGGGUUUCUGACGGUAGAUGGAGAAGAAGCACCGGCUAACUACGUGCCAGCAGCCGCGGUAAUACGUAGGGUGCGAGCGUUGUCCGGAAUUACUGGGCGUAAAGAGCUCGUAGGUGGUUUGUCGCGUCGUCUGUGAAAUUCCGGGGCUUAACUCCGGGCGUGCAGGCGAUACGGGCAUAACUUGAGUACUGUAGGGGAGACUGGAAUUCCUGGUGUAGCGGUGAAAUGCGCAGAUAUCAGGAGGAACACCGGUGGCGAAGGCGGGUCUCUGGGCAGUAACUGACGCUGAGGAGCGAAAGCAUGGGGAGCGAACAGGAUUAGAUACCCUGGUAGUCCAUGCCGUAAACGGUGGGCGCUAGGUGUGGGUUUCCUUCCACGGGAUCCGUGCCGUAGCUAACGCAUUAAGCGCCCCGCCUGGGGAGUACGGCCGCAAGGCUAAAACUCAAAGGAAUUGACGGGGGCCCGCACAAGCGGCGGAGCAUGUGGAUUAAUUCGAUGCAACGCGAAGAACCUUACCUGGGCUUGACAUAUACAGGAUCGCGCCAGAGAUGGUGUUUCCCUUGUGGCUUGUAUACAGGUGGUGCAUGGUUGUCGUCAGCUCGUGUCGUGAGAUGUUGGGUUAAGUCCCGCAACGAGCGCAACCCUUGUCUUAUGUUGCCAGCACGUUGUGGUGGGGACUCGUAAGAAACUGCCGGGGUUAACUCGGAGGAAGGUGGGGAUGACGUCAAAUCAUCAUGCCCCUUAUGUCCAGGGCUUCACACAUGCUACAAUGGUCGGUACAGUGGGUUGCCAGUCCGUGAGGGCGAGCUAAUCCCGCAAAGCCGGUCUCAGUUCGGAUCGGGGUCUGCAACUCGACCCCGUGAAGUCGGAGUCGCUAGUAAUCGCAGAUCAGCAACGCUGCGGUGGAUACGUUCCCGGGCCU